CGAUGAGUUGAUGUAGACCGGACCGCUGAGGCGGCGAUUUGCGCACAUCCGUUAAGCAAUUUUGACAUAAUGCGGAUGUAGACGUGGGCUCCAACGACAGUGCGCGAGGGCCGGAUCAGACUUUAGUCAUGAGGUAAUUGACUUGUUACGGCCGCGGCGGUUUAGAACCAGCGGGGCGCCCGGCUGUUUGAAUCCGGCGACUCAGCGGAUGUGGCCGCUUGCAGCAGCGGUUCACAGGCGGAAGCAGGCGGCUCAGAGGCGCAGCGGCAUGGGCGGAGCCCAGCGGUGGAGGCGAAACAGCGAGGUCGUAGAAUCUUCAUCGAUCCCCGUGUCUCCGUGUUCAUCCGGGUCGUUGUCAGUUUGCCAUCCCCGAUCCGUAUCCUCCAGGUCGUGGGCUCGUGCCUCCUUUUUUUUUCAGGCAACAGCCAGUAGCACUUUCAGGCGAGCACGCAAGGGGGACACGGACGCGCGGCGACCUGGUAAAGGCGGGAGCAGAGGAGAGGUGCCAGGCCAGAGCGGAGGCAACAGCUCGGCUCAACCAUGGCGUGAGGCCUCAGCAGAGAAGCGGAGGCGCGAGGCGAGCCGCAACCACAGGGGCGCCGGGCGGUGCUGCGCGGAAGCCGGUCUGAGGUGAAGGGUAGCAAGGCGGCCAGCGGCUCUCCCCGACUACAGUUGAGGCGAGCGUCCGCGGCGGCUGAGGCGCGGCAGAGGCAAGGCCAGCUCCGGGAAUACGCAUAUGCAACAUAUGCAGUCAACGGUGGACCAAUCUCCUUCCUCCUGGCAUAGUCCUUCCUUUCCCUGGUUCUCACUUUCCUUUCUUGUUUUAUUCAGAUCUCAUCCAGUCUAGCACGUCCUUUGUGAGGACACGGAGCAUCUUGCUUGAUACGAAGUAAGCAACCACGGCGGCUUAAAGAACCGGUUUAUAGGCGCUGCGGUGAAGGCGGAGCUCCGGCAGCGCAGCAGUUUGGAGCAAAGCACGGACGGGCCACGCAGAGGCGGACGGGCGAGGCGGUCUGUUACAGCGGAGGCAGCAACUGCCACGGAAGCCCUCCCGGUGACUCGGAGCAGGGCCGAGGCUGCGACGGCGGUCGACCCCGACGGCGGAGGCCGGCUUGAAAGUGAGGCGGCCAAGCAGCUUUAGGAGAUGACUUGUCUUCUUUUUCUUCCUUGUGAAAAAAAGGCAGAGGCGGUAGUGCCUAUGCCUGAUGUGUCUCGGGAGUCGGGACUGUAGCUUCAAAGAUGUGACAACCCUGUUAUUUGUUUAGACCAACUGGAUUUGACCA